rnacentral:lncRNA from 1 species
GGGGAUAUAAAGAGGAAUAAUCUUUGUAUAUGAACAAAUACUAGAAGACCAUAAUACGCAGCGGAAUAAAAUGGAAACACAAUCAAAUAGAACACCAAGAUAUACGUGGAAAACCCCUUCAAUGUGAAGGGUAAAAACCACGGGGCAAACUAGAGAUAAUCCACUAUGAGAAUAAUGAAUAUACAAAUCUCAAUCUCUUACUCAAAACCCUAGCAACAACCACAAGAGAAUAACUGGGAUACAAGGAUCACGUCACUGCCCACAAUAUCUAAAACCUCCCCAAGUAAUCAC